UACGGGGGGGGCAAGCGUUGUUCGGAAUUACUGGGCGUAAAGGGCUCGUAGGCGGCCAACUAAGUCAGACGUGAAAUCCCUCGGCUUAACCGGGGAACUGCGUCUGAUACUGGAUGGCUUGAAUCCGGGAGAGGGAUGCGGAAUUCCAGGUGUAGCGGUGAAAUGCGCAGAUAUCAGGAGGAACACCGAUGGCGAAGGCAGAUCUCUGGGCCGUAACUGACGCUGAGGAGCGAAAGCAUGGGGAGCGAACAGG
rnacentral:rRNA from 1 species